rnacentral:sRNA from 1 species
CUGUAUUUAAGAAAGCAGAGCUUCCAUUUUUGAUUGUUUUAAACAACAAGGAAGAAGCUGCCUAUUACUUGAAUGAUU